CCACUCUCGGGGUUGCACCUGGAGAGUUUCUAGUACUCUACCAGUCUCGGCUAUGGGAGAUAGAGUCAUGCAGAGGUAUACCUAUUCCAUUCCUAGCCUGACCAGUGGCUACCGAGUGGAAGGCAAUCUGCUGCAAGU